UACGUAGGGUGCGAGCGUUAAUCGGAAUUACUGGGCGUAAAGCGUGCGCAGGCGGUUAUUUAGGUCAGGUGUGAAAGCCCUGGGCUUAACCUAGGAAUGGCGCUUGAGACUGGAUAGCUUGGAGUGUGGCAGAGGGAGGUGGAAUUCCACGUGUAGCAGUGAAAUGCGUAGAGAUGUGGAGGAACACCGAUGGCGAAGGCAGCCUCCUGGGCCAGCCCUGACGCUCAUGCACGAAAGCGUGGGGAGCAAACAGG
rnacentral:rRNA from 1 species